ACACCGGUCCUUUUCAGGACCAACUAAUUUUGUUAAAAAAGAUAUA
rfam:Megaselia scalaris, Durham, NC isolate 2 -- Noor lab, WGS project CAQQ02000000 data, contig: ctg0000012749